AAAGUGUAGCUUAAACCAAAGCAUUCGGCUUACACCCGAAAGAUUUCACCCACCAAUGACCACUUUGA
rnacentral:tRNA from 1 species